rnacentral:rRNA from 1 species
GAGGAAUUUGUCCUGUAAUCGAUAAUCCGCGAUGGACCUUUCUUUAAUUUGUGUUGCAGUUUAUAUACCGUCGUUAUAAGAAUAUUUUAUAAGAAAUUUAAUAUUCUAUUCUCGUUAUGUCGAGUUAUUUCAGAUCAAGGUGUAGCUUAUAUUAAAGUAGAGAUGAAUUACAUUAGAAUUAUGUAUACGGAUAUGUAUGUGAAAAGUAUAUUGAAGGCGGAUUUGAUAGUAAAUUUAAUUAGAAUAUUGGGUUGAUAUUAGCUCUAAAAUGUGUAC